UGAGUGUGUGCCAUGUGCUAGGCUUUUAUCCUCACCGCAGUGGGAUUGGACAGAGGGGAAGGCAGAGACAGGCUACACAGCCUGGAGCGGAGGAGCUGGGUUUUGACCAGAUGUCCCCAACUCAGGGCUCUUGGCCACAUUCCUUUGUCCACUUUCUUCCUCAGUCACUCAUUUCUCCAUUUCCUUAUUUUUCGAAUGAUGAAGUUGGCCUUUUCCCUUGAACUCACAUUAGACUCUCACCUUGGAAAGUUCUUGACCGGUUAAGUGCACAGACUGCAGCCAGACUGGGUUUGAGUCUCACCCUCCACCAUAACCAGCAGUCUGUUUCUGAAUGUGCAACAGUGAUACUAAGAUCACCCCUCCCUGAGAGGUGUGAAAAGCCCUAACUGCUCACCACAGAGAGGAUCAAGACAGCGGCUGAUAUCGCCAGCUGCUGGUGGGGCAGCCUAGGGCUGUGUACCAUACCAGAGGCAAGACUGCAAGUUCAGGAGGACUGUAAAGUUCUACCCUGUGGAUGUCAUUACCCUUUCAGGAAGACUGAGACCCAGCCAGCUCUUCAGCGCUUUAUCCCACAGGACCUCAGGUCCUACAUACUGCUGGAACCAAGAGAUGUAUUGCUGACUGAAGAAGACUGCAUCACAAAGAGCAACUUUUCCACUUGAUAAUAUGUACAACAGCAAACCAAGUUAGAGACCAAUGAAAACAUAGGAGAGAUCCUUCAUGAGCAUUGGAUUUCACAACUAUAGACUGCACUUGAUGUUUUUUUCUUCAGUUUUAAAAAAAAGAAAUAAAAGCAGUAGAGCCCAAAAUCUCUUCUUACAUCAGCCCCACUGCCUGUCUUCCCCACUGUCUGACUCAAAAACCCACCUUUUUGUUUCUUUAAAAA